CUACGGGGGGCUCCAGGCGCGAAACCUUUACAAAGCACGCAAGUGUGAUAAGGGGAUCCCCAGUGCUCAUGCAUUGCAUGGGCUUUUGCCAAGUGUAAAUAGCUUGGCGAAUAAGUGGUGGGUAAGACUGGUGCCAGCCGCCGCGGUAACACCAGCGCCACAAGUGGUAACCGCGAUUAUUGGGCCUAAAGCGUCCGUAGCCGGUCUAAUAAAUCCUUUGUGAAAUUGUACAGCUUAACUGUACAGCGUGCAAGGGACACUGUUAGACUCGAGACCGGGAGGAGUCAGAAGUAUUCCAGGGGGAGCGGUAAAAUGUUAUAAUCCCUGGAGGACUACCUGUGGCGAAGGCGUCUGACCAGAACGGAUCUGACGGUGAGGGACGAAAGCCAGGGGAGCGAACCGGAUUAGAUACCCUAGUAGUC
rnacentral:rRNA from 1 species